GAUGAACGCUGGCGGCGUGCCUAAUACAUGCAAGUCGAGCGAAUGGAUUAAGAGCUUGCUCUUAUGAAGUUAGCGGCGGACGGGUGAGUAACACGUGGGUAACCUGCCCAUAAGACUGGGAUAACUCCGGGAAACCGGGGCUAAUACCGGAUAAUAUUUUGAACUGCAUGGUUCAAAAUUGAAAGGCGGCUUCGGCUGUCACUUAUGGAUGGACCCGCGUCGCAUUAGCUAGUUGGUGAGGUAACGGCUCACCAAGGCAACGAUGCGUAGCCGACCUGAGAGGGUGAUCGGCCACACUGGGACUGAGACACGGCCCAGACUCCCACGGGAGGCAGCAGUAGGGGAUCUUCCGCAAUUGACGAAAGUCUGACGGAGCAACGCCGCGUGAGUGAUGAAGGCUUUCGGGUCGUAAAACUCUGUUGUUAGGGAAGAACAAGUGCUAGUUGAAUAAGCUGGCACCUUGACGGUACCUAACCAGAAAGCCACGGCUAACUACGUGCCAGCCGCCGCAGUAA
rnacentral:rRNA from 1 species